AAUCCCAACCCUAAAUCUCUCUCAACUCUUAAGUCUACUGCCGCCCUCCCCUCCCCAUUCGGCCUCUCCGUCACUCGUCUGUUACAACCGUGCGCCUCUCGCCGAUCGUUCCUCUGCUCCACGCUGUCAACGUCGUCCGGUUCCUGCGUCCGCUGGUCUGCUUGCUUCUUUGCUCUUCUCCGCCGCUUCCUCUGCUCCAGUCUCGCCGAGCACAUACAAAUCAGUGGCAAAUUUUAUCAAGGGCCACAUAAUUUCUUCCAUUUUGCUUUUGUUUCUCUUUGCAGGGUCAUCCAUUUUGCUGGCUGGGUAAUUCUUUGAACUGGGCAUUGAGAGGCUGUAGGAACCAUGGCAGGCAUUAUAAGAAAGUUGCUAUGAAUUAGUCCAUAAGAAAAUUUCAGAUCUAUGUACUGGUAGUGCUAUGUACUUUUGAUAUUCAGAUGCUAUAUAGCAAUUUGGAUAUGAUAAUAUGUGAAUUUUUGUGAGGUCAGUACUAAAGGAAUUCGGAAUCUUCUGGCAAAUUGCUUGUAUCCUGCGGCUCUCUUUUGGGUAUUAAGAAAAAUAAGAAAUUGAUUCAUUGAUGAAGCUUUUUCCGUCUAUAUAGAAAAAUCAUUUUUGAAAGAUUUUGUUGAUAUGAUCUACAGAAAUACCAUUUUUACACUGCUUGGACGUGGGCCUGUGCUUUUAGGGGGAGCCAAGAGCCAGCUGUUAAUAAGCUCAAGGAGCCCAUUUUAGAUGAAAUUACAGCUGCACUAGUGAGCCGUUUUGAGCUUAAUUUUACAAGACAGGACACUGCUUCUAUGUGGUUUCUCUGUAAGCAGGAAAUCAAGCCUGUGGUCUUUUCAGUCCUUCUGAGGUGCAUCUUUCUUCAAUAGAUUGGUUAAGGAUCUGCAAAUAAUCGGGUAGAGGAGAAUAUGCGAUUAAGGACUGAACUUCAGAAAAAAAUUCAGGAACUUGAAAAAUACGUACUAAAACUGGAGAAUAUGGACAAAACCAGGCAUUG